AUUGAACGCUGGCGGCAGGCUUAACACAUGCAAGUCGAGCGAGCGGCGGACGGGUGAGUAAUGUCUGGGAAACUGCCUGAUGGAGGGGGAUACCUACUGGAAACGGUAGCUAAUACCGCAUACCAUCAGAUGUGCCCAUAUAGGCUUAGCUAGUAGGUGGGGUAAUGGCUCACCUAGGCGACGAUCCCUAGCUGGUCUGAGAGGAUGACCAGUCAGACAGGAGCUAUGACGCGGUCCAGACUCCUACGGGUGGCAGCAGUCAGGAAUAUUGCACAACGGGCGAGUGCCUGAUACAGCCUGGCCACUGGUAUGAAGAUGGCCUUCGGGUUGUGCAGCACUUUGAGCGAGGAGGCGUUACUCGCAGCAGAAGCACCGGCUAACUCCGUGCCAGCCGCCGCGGUAAUUC
rnacentral:rRNA from 1 species